rnacentral:sRNA from 1 species
GAAAAUUUUGUUUAAAUUUUAACCUUUUGAUUUCGGUUGUUUUAUUUUAAUUGCAUUCGAAAAAUGUAUUAAAUGUUACAGCGUAACGUGUAUAUCCUCCAGUAGAACUAGUUUUUCUGGAACUCGUUUCAUGAUGGUUUCCAUAUUCUACACACAGAACAGACUUUAUGUUAAACAAAGGACUGGCAUUGCAGCAACAACAAAAUGUCCAAAAGCACAAACUUUACAAAACCCAUCUCUUUUGCGACGAAUAUACUUGAAGCACGUACAUUUCAGUGCCAUCGACUAUAUGGAAGUUAUUUGUAAUGCUAACCACAAUAUACACAUCUAUGAAUAUUACUUUUAUAUAUAUUCAACUCAUAUCAUUAUGAAGAUUUACGCCUUCAUCGUUCUCACAAAUAUAUUAAUAUACAGCCAUAAAGGUAAAUAUUUCUAAAACUUAACAAAUUUUAAAUAAACAUCAAGGCAGCUAUUUAGAUAUAAGAAUAUCUGUAAAUUGAGUUAGGAUUAAGUAAGGCUUAGUUGAAGAAGUCUAUCGAACACUAAUGUUGAAUAAAUAAUAAAUAUUCUUACGCUAUGGACAAAUUCACAUGCGUACAUCAAGCCCCGUUUUGUUAGUAAAAUAUAUGCGUGCAUACAUUUGUAUUGAUAAAUAGUUUUGAAAUUAUAAAACUAAUAUGUUGAUGUGUUGGUAUUUAUAUAAUUAACAAUAUUUCAAUGAUUUUGCUGAUGCCAGGGAAUUAACUCUAGAAGGAAAAACUUAACACGGAGACUAUGUUAUAAAAUACAAAUAAAUCUUCUCCCGCGUUUUGUUUAUUAAUUUUAUUUACUUUAGAAAUGAAAAUUAACAUAAAAUAGAAAAAAAAAACGGAGUUCUUCGUUUCGAUGAAUGUAUACCACAUACUAGGGUUAUUUUUUUAUAUUUCAUUUCAUACCAAUACUACUGAAGAGAAAAAAGUGAAGAACAUCCCAAUCGCAAGUGUAUGCUCGAAUUUAUGAUAAAUUUCUUUUAAUAGUUUUAAGCCCAAAUACAAGAAUAAUUGUAAAAAAUCAACAAAUGAAUACACUCACAAACUAACUAUGAUAUUAGAUUGUAAUCGAAUAUUAACAAGAACAAAUACUGUAUAUAACCUACAACCGCGUGAGAAAAAACGAAGUUUUGUAAUUAAUCUCAAAACAGCUGUGUAAACUUGAAUUUAAUUUAGCGAAAAGCAAUUAAGGAUUAUACUUCUCUCACAUAGAGCUCGAAAGAUGCAAUCGCAUUACGUUGAAGUAAAAAGCGCCCAACUAAUAUGUAGUAAUAACCCCCUAACAACCUCUUUUCAUAAUAAAUGUGAUAGAAUCCCAGUUUAGUAGUUGAUAAAAUAACAAAUAAUUUAAUUUAGUGUGUACAUUAUCAUGAUCCUAAUAAUGAUCAAAUUUUAGAUUGAAGUAGUACUACUUAUAAUUAACAUUAUUCGAAAAAGUAGUUUAAAACUAAGUGCAUCUUCAAUGCAAGCAAAAAUUCUUUUAGAGCGGAGCAAUGUUGAAGAAAAAAAAUCAAUGAUAUUACUUAUUAUAACAAAUAAGCAUUAAAAUAUAUAUAUACAUACUUAUAUGCUAAGUAGUUACGCAAGUAUUUAAAAAAGCAAUUUCAGUUGGUUAUCAAUCGCCAUGUGGAAUCUUGUUUUUGGGACAUUACAUCUUCUAGACUGGUGUAAACUUAGUGACGUGAUUCGAUUACCUUUCCACUUAUUCGAAAUACGCUGGCGAUUGAUGAUUCAAUAAUUCUGCUGAUAUAUAGAACUAAUUAUAUAUUACUAGGAAAAAUGAAAACCAAGACAAAGAAAACCUCCCGCCAGUAUACUUAUGUAAUAAUUCAAAUGGUGUGAUAACAAAUUAAUAUCCGAUCGGUAUAUAAUUCACUUUCAUUUCAUCAUCCUACGUCCUUUUCUAAGCUGUUAAGAUUGAUUACAUUUUUAUACUUUUUUACAUUUCGAAAGGAAUAAAAGAGAUAGAAAAUAGCAAUGAUGCAGUACUAGCAGGCAUUGCUGCAUGCAGAGUGUGUGCGAUGACAUCCAAGUAGCAAAUAUAUGUAUAGAUAUGUAACUAACCAAUAAAAAAAAAUUUCAUCAGGGAUAUAUAAUGGCGGAUCUUAAUGAAAAUGAUAAAAUCAAUCCAUUGAAAUGUAACAAAAAUAAAUCAGGAUUAUGUAAAUCUUUUGAAAUUUGAGUUUAACACAAACACACGUUUGGUUUCGCAUAAGUUGCAAACGGAUCGAGAUGAAAACCAAAAUAUCAAAAUCAAUUCAAAAGCUCAGCUUGGCUUUAGUUUCAUAGAUUAUUGAUAAACAAAGACAGCAGAAUAUAAAUACAUGUCUCAGACAAAGCCGCCCAAAGGCCUUCACAAAACACUAAAACCUAACAAAACACAGCAAAAGAAAGUAAUCGAAUACAUCUAAUAUAAAUCACGUAAUUAAGAACGUAUGUAGCUUAUGAAUAUUCACCCCCGAAUACAUGAAAUAUACCAUAAAUAGUUAAAUAGAACUGUUGGUUCUUAUUCAAUUCAACAUUUGUAAGACCCCAAAACAAGCCAGUAUCGGAAAAAUAUGAAGAAAAAUAGCAUUAUGCAAUAUAUACCAACAUAUAUACAUUAUACAUAAAAUCCAGAGUCGGUGUCUAUGUUAUUAAAAAUAGAAAAUGUUGACAUAAUACUUUGAACAUUAUUAAUUAAAAGGAUUCUUUAUACCACACGCGAGCCGUAAAAUGGCUAAAAAUUACAAACUCACAAAACAACCUAAUUCACAAUAACCAUUUAAGAAAAAGCUCUCAGUGUCUCAGCAUGCAAAAUUGAAACCUCAAACACAAUCUUACAAUAGUAGAGUUGCUUAAAAAUACACAGCUUGUCAGGAAUUCUCUUCACCAUCCAGCUAAAGAUAAGUAUAUAACCUUUAUGCAUUCAGACAGCCAUAGGAAAAAUUCAAAAAAAAAAUGUCCAUGGUACGUUGUUACAGGUAGAGCAUAGGAAAGGAGACCCCCAACCAAUACUUUUGGAUAGGAGAUCGAAGUGAAAGGAUAUUUUCGUGUCUAUUCUUUUAUUAAUAAUAAAACCAAUAGGCCAUUGUUUGCUUAAUCUCCCUCUAAUAACAUAUCUAAAACAUGAUUUAAUAUAUUGAUUCAAUUUUAGGCUAUACACUAAACUUAAUUUCCAAUCAAAUACUGUAAGUUUAAAUAAUUUGGUUAAGCCACUACAUUUUUGGGUAAAUAAAUUAUUAGGAAUUCUGGUAAGACUGAAGGCAGAUUAUAGGAUUAUUUCUGGCUACAAUUUUGUCUGAAUGCUUUGGUCUUAAGUUAAGUAAAAACAAAAACAAGCCAACUAAAGAUCAGUUAAUAACUUCAACAACUAAAACAAAAACACCAAUGCUCGUUUUAUUAAUUUUACUGAAAAAGAAAUCUUUCCCAAAGGUUUCCUCUUAUUUGCAUAUCAACAAAGAAAAACAGAACUCCUACAUGCGUAGGGAAAUCAAAACCAUGUGAUCAGAAUAUUUGUUGGAACAAAACAAAGUCAAGGUCCUCGGUAGGAACUUUAUAUUACCCUAGUAUCGAUAUGGGUGUGCAAUUAAAUAUAGUCUCAAAAAAAUGAUCAACUUUAUUUUCCUUCUCUUUAUAUGUAUGUGUGUGUGCGUAGUUUAUAGUUUAAAUAAGUAUAGUAAAUAUACACAUAAUUCCAAAGAUAUGAUGUAAGAAUAUUAGACAUUAUCUUAUUAUUUUAGCCAAAAGACUUAUUUAUUUCCAGCGACUUGUCAGCAUGGUCAUUCCUACAAUAUACUUCUCCAAGAGGGUGUUUGGAAAUUAACCAGAAAAAAAUGUAACGCUUGAUUAUCUUUUGUAUAAUUCUGUAAUUAAAAUUGCAAUGCAACAGGUCUCGAUAAAAAAACACAAUACAUUACAUUAAUUUAAUACAAAUAAUAAAAUUCUCUUCGUGCAAUUGAAAGGCA